rnacentral:rRNA from 1 species
UAGGGAAUCUUCGGCAAUGGGGGGAACCCUGACCGAGCAACGCCGCGUGAGUGAAGAAGGUUUUCGGAUCGUAAAGCUCUGUUGUAAGAGAAGAACGUUAGUAAGAGUGGAAAGUUUACUAAGUGACGGUAUCUUACCAGAAAGGGACGGCUAACUACGUGCCAGCAGCCGCGGUAAUACGUAGGUCCCGAGCGUUGUCCGGAUUUAUUGGGCGUAAAGCGAGCGCAGGCGGUUGUAUAAGUCAGAAGUAAAAGGCAGUGGCUCAACCAUUGUGUGCUUUUGAAACUGUACAACUUGAGUGCAGAAGGGGAGAGUGGAAUUCCAUGUGUAGCGGUGAAAUGCGUAGAUAUAUGGAGGAACACCGGUGGCGAAAGCGGCUCUCUGGUCUGUAACUGACGCUGAGGCUCGAAAGCGUGGGGAGCGAACAGG